CUAUAUCAUAAUCUUGGCUUGUCCAUUAUUAUCUAUUUACUGUGAACUGUAUUAUUAUUUGACAUUUGAGGGAUGUUCCAAUGUUAUAAGGAUAGACAUUGGAAAUGUUAACCGAGUCAUAAUCAGGUUUAGGCCUGGUAUCCUAUUAUUAUUUACCAAAUGAAUUCAGAAUUAAUAUUGUAACAUAGACCUAAAAAAUCUAUAAAACAACUUUUAACAACGGAUCUCUUGGUUCUCGCAUCGAUGAAGAACGUAGCAAAGUGCGAUAACUAGUGUGAAUUGCAUAUUCAGUGAAUCAUCGAGUCUUUGAACGCAACUUGCGCUCAUUGGUAUUCCAAUGAGCACGCCUGUUUCAGUAUCAAAACAAACCCUCUAUCCAACUUUUGUUGUAUAGGAUUAUUGGGGGCCUCUCGAUCUGUAUAGAUCUUGAAAUCCCUGAAAUUUACUAAGGCCUGAACUUGUUUAAAUGCCUGAACUUUUUUUUAAUAUAAAGGAAAGCUCUUGUAAUUGACUUUGAUGGGGCCUCCCAAAUAAAUCUCUUUUAAAUUUGAUCUGAAAUCAGGCGGGAUUACCCGCUGAACUUAAGCAUAUCAAUAAGCCGGAGAAA
rnacentral:rRNA from 1 species